rnacentral:rRNA from 1 species
UACAGAGGGUGCUAGCGUUGUUCGGAAUCAUUGGGCGUAAAGGGCGUGUAGGCGGUUUGUUAAGUCAUGUGUGAAAUCCCUCGGCUCAACCGGGGAACGACGCAUGAAACUGGCAAGCUAGAGUACCAAAGAGGGGGGUGGAAUUCCCGGUGUAGCGGUGAAAUGCGUAGAUAUGUGGAGGAAUACCGAUGGCGAAGGCAGCCCCCUGGGAUAACACUGACGCUCAUGCACGAAAGCGUGGGGAGCAAACAGG